AAGGAACAGUUCCAUGAGUUUUCACAGGCCAGCAGUGUGUCUCCUACACUUGACCUAGACAGCCUUACAUAACGAAGCGUCGGGGCUGGGGAGCUCGCUGAAUGUCAUCACCAGCAAGAGUAAGAAGUAUUGGCAGCAGCAGGCAGGCGGGCAGGCUGGGAGUUUGCAUGGGAAGCAUGAAAUCUUGUCUUCUCUUUUGAAAUGUUUUGGAAGGAGAGUUAAGAAUAGCUCGGAAACUGGUCGUGUUGUUUUUGUGGGAAGAAUGACCAGAAGCAUAAAAGCUAAAUUUUCCAGCAAGUGCAAGACACUGCUUUCGGUGUUUGCCAUAAACCUAAGAGAGCGAACCGCUGUCUGUAAAGUACUGUGCCAUGACACCUAAGAUGAAGGGGAUGGUAAAGCAAAGUAAUGACUCAAAGGCUGCCACCGAGAGCUUUUGUCUACCUUUAACUCAUUGUGGUUUUAUUUUCAUUAAGAAAACAGCUAAACACAAGAAGAAAAACGAGAAAGGCUUAAAUGAGAAGUGUCCAAACACUGUGUGGAUACAUGACAAACAUGGAAUGAAUGAAUAUGAAACUCAAAGCUGAGAACAAAAUGCUUUUCCGGACCUUCUCUGCU